UAGGGAAUCUUCCGCAAUGGACGCAAGUCUGACGGAGCAACGCCGCGUGAGUGAAGAAGGAUUUCGGUUCGUAAAACUCUGUUGUUAGAGAAGAACAGCGCAUAGAGUAACUGUUAUGCGUGUGACGGUAUCUAACCAGAAAGCCACGGCUAACUACGUGCCAGCAGCCGCGGUAAUACGUAGGUGGCAAGCGUUGUCCGGAUUUAUUGGGCGUAAAGCGAGCGCAGGCGGUCAAUUAAGUCUGAUGUGAAAGCCCCCGGCUCAACCGGGGAGGGUCAUUGGAAACUGGUUUACUUGAGUGCAGAAGAGGAUAGUGGAAUUCCAUGUGUAGCGGUGAAAUGCGUAGAUAUAUGGAGGAACACCAGUGGCGAAGGCGACUCUCUGGUCUGUAACUGACGCUGAGGCUCGAAAGCGUGGGUAGCAAACAGG
rnacentral:rRNA from 1 species